rnacentral:rRNA from 1 species
CACUAUCACUCCUACGGGAGGCAGCAGUGGGGAAUAUUGCACAAUGGGGGAAACCCUGAUGCAGCCAUGCCGCGUGUGUGAAGAAGGCCUUCGGGUUGUAAAGCACUUUCAGUCGGGAGGAAGGUAGUGUAGUUAACACCUGCAUUAUUUGACGUUACCUACAGAAGAAGCACCGGCUAACUCCGUGCCAGCAGCCGCGGUAAUACGGAGGGUGCGAGCGUUAAUCGGAAUUACUGGGCGUAAAGCGCAUGCAGGCGGCCUGUUAAGUCAGAUGUGAAAGCCCCGGGGCUUAACCUCGGAAUUGCAUUUGAAACUGGCAGGCUAGAGUCUUGUAGAGGGGGUAGAAUUUCAGGUGUAGCGGUGAAAUGCGUAGAGAUCUGAAGGAAUACCAGUGGCGAAGGCGGCCCCCUGGACAAAGACUGACGCUCAGAUGCGAAAGCGUGGGGAGCAAACAGGAUUAGAUACCCUGGUAG